rnacentral:rRNA from 1 species
UACGAAGGGGGCAAGCGUUGUUCGGAAUGACUGGGCGUAAAGGGCGCGUAGGCGGUCCGUUGCGUCGGGCGUGAAAGCCCCGGGCUCAACCCGGGAAUGGCGUUCGAUACGGGCGGGCUUUGAGUCCGGAAGAGGGUGGUGGAAUUCCCAGUGUAGAGGUGAAAUUCGUAGAUAUUGGGAAGAACACCGGUGGCGAAGGCGGCCACCUGGUCCGGCACUGACGCUGAGGCGCGAAAGCGUGGGGAGCAAACAGG